rnacentral:rRNA from 1 species
UUUUGCGCAUGGGGGAAAACCCUGNCGCANCAAUGCCGCGUGGGAGGAUGAAGNCCUUUGGGUAUGUAAACUCCUUUCGAUCGGGACAGAUAAUGACGGUACCGGAAGUAAGAAGCCCCGGCUAACUCUGUGCCAGCAGCCGCGGUAAUACANACGGGGCGCAAGCGUUGUUCGGAAUUAUUGGGCGUAAAGGGCGCGUAGGCUGUGCGGUAAGUCUGUAGUGAAAUCUCUGGGCUCAACUCAGAGUCUGCUAUANAAACUGCCGNGCUUGAGUGUGGGAGAGGUAUGUGGAAUUCCCAGGUGUAGCGGUGAAAUGCGUAUUAUAUCGGGAGGAACACCUGUGGCGAAAGCGGCAUACUGGUACCACAACUGACGCUGAGGCNCNAAAGCUANGGGAGCAAACAGGAUUAGAUACCCUGGUAGUCCUANCCCUAAACNAUGGAUGCUUGGNGCAGCAGGUACCCAAUCCUGCNUGUGCCGGAGCUAACGCAUUNANNAUCCCGCCUGGGGAGNNCGGUCGCAAGGCUGAAACUCAAAGAANUUGACGGA